GGAGCCUAGCAAGUGGUCGCCCCCAGCUAGCGGGGGCAGAACCAUGGCAGGAGCUGCAGCACCCCAACUCUGGGUACUGUGGGCCAGGAAAGCAAACCAUUUCCACGUGUGCUUGGGAUCACCAUAUCUGGGACCUUUUCAAGGACUCGAAGCCCGAGGUACUGGGGAUCGAACUCACGACUGCCCGCUUGCAAGGCAGGCCCUUAUGCCUGCUGAGCUAAAUCUCCAGCCCCUUCUUCUACAUCCUUAAAAGCCACUGCUGCAGCUUGGAUCUUGACUGUCCCUCAAAGCCACACGUGCAAAGGCUUGGUUCCCAGGGUGGGCCCAUGGGAAGUGGAGGAACUGGAGAGAUGUGACCUAAAGGAAGGUCAUGAGAACAAUGCAGUAUGACCGUGAAGGGCAUUGUGGAACCCAGGCCCUUCUCUUACUCUUUUUUGGUUCCUGAUGCUGAUGUGAGCAGUGUAGCUCUGCCAUGCACUGCUGGCACAAUGUGCCUCCUCAUGACCUGCCUAACAACCCAAGCAUGGACUGGGUCCUCUAAAACUGUGAGUCCAA